rnacentral:rRNA from 1 species
GCGUCCUCCCGUCCGACCGACCGUACUACGACGUACCGUACCGUACGGGUACGGGACGAGCGAGUGGGAAUUUUGGCGCAGUGGGGAAACCCUGACGCAGCAAGCCGCGUUGGAGGGAUGAGUCCUGGCGGUAAGUACCUUCGUAUCGGGACGAGGUAACCUUCCCGUACCGGUACCCGGUACCGAAGUACGACCGGACUACCUACGGUAGGCAGCAGCCGCGGUAAUAC